rnacentral:rRNA from 1 species
UACAGAGGUCUCAACCGUUGUUCGGAUUCAUUGGGCGUAAAGGGUGCGUAGGCGGUCGUGUAAGUCGGAUGUGAAAUCUCAGGGCUCAACCCUGAAACUGCAUUCGAUACUGCAUGGCUAGGGUACUGGAGAGGAGACUGGAAUUUACGGUGUAGCAGUGAAAUGCGUAGAGAUCAUGAGGAAGACCAGUGGCGAAGGCGGGUCUCUGGACAGUUCCUGACACUGAGGCACGAAGGCCAGGGGAGCAAACGGG